CUAAUCAAUUGUUUUCUAUCAAAAUGUAUCCAGAAAUAAUAUAAAUAUAUAUAAUAAUAUUUCAGAAACUAUUCCAAAUAAUCGUCCCCUCCUUCCAUCUCUUCCAUAACAUUGUGCUUCUCUCCCUUCCUUCUCUCUCUGACUUGCAGGUUUGAAAUUGAGAAAAAACAAAAUGUCUCAUUAUCAUGUGCUCAACACAGAAUUCUUGUAUUUUCAAAAGUACUAGUUACUUACCUCCUGUGUUUAUCUAGGCUGUGACUUAUAUAAUACUUAUAUACAUUUGUAUUUAAAUAUAUUUCCCACAUGUAAAUAGUUAUUUGUCAUAUUUUUUUUUACUGAUGCAGCCAAAUGUCUAAUUGUAUAUACAUACAAUGUAAUUAUAUGACAUUGAAACUAUUUUAAUUUUUAUAGUGUCUUGCAAUU